CAACGUGCUCUACAAAGCGAAGCCAUCGACGCAAACAAGCUAAGUCAGACAAGUCGUAAAACGUCAAUUUCGUAGGAUGUAAAUAUGCGCGAAAUUUAUUAAAGCGACAAAGAGGACGUUCUGCGGGAAUGUAGCAUUGCUUUGCCUACCAUCCGCUGCUACGCAGAGGCUAUGGUACUGUGCCCGUGAGCGAGGGCCACAACCAAGAAUUCAGCUAGUGUCCUAAGAGCGCAGUAUGUCACAUAGUCGUUCUUUUCUUGUCCGUCCUUUUAGCGCUUUUAAUGACGACUUCGUCCUAAGAAACGUUUCAUGAUCUGAAAGGUAGCGUGACAGCUUUCAGCCACGGGGACCGCAGAAUGUCGACGUCAUGUCUCGAGCGUUCGAGUCCACGUCAAAACUAAUUGUCGUCGUCGUCGUCGUUUCUAAUUACUGAGGUCCGAACGGCAGAUCACAAGAUCACGUGAACGUGUCGACGCAGAAUCAUAACAGUGCGUACACUGUAACUGUGGUGCAAAUCGCUGAUGAUGGCGCUCCUCAUACUAAUAUUAAUGUCAGUGAGUCGCUGCAAAGGAGAGAAUCGUGAAAAUGUUACACCUUAUACAAGCGCCGUCCUUCCAGGAUCCCAACAGGCUGCAACGUCAGCAGAUGACCUCGAGAAGGCGAAAACCUCCGUCGAUGCAAGUCAGUAUCGGCAAUCCUCCCAUGACAUGGUCGACAUGAAGGCGAUGCUUGGAUUCCAAAGUCGGCGCAACCGGUACCGAGGCGGAGCUUCAAGGCAACCUCCGUACUUACCACGCAGCAAGAAGGUUCACAAUGCAACACGUGGUGCACACACCUUCUCGGUAAUCGCCUGUGUCGCGGUCGGUUUGAUAGCCUGUGCAGUUAUGCUUCUGUCCGCUUGCCUGGUGGUCUCGGCCUUUAUAGAUGGCUUCGAUGAAUCCUUCGAAAGCGUCUGCGAAAGACUCUCGCAAAGGCAGGUUACUCGAACUAUGAUGAAGAGCAGUGAGGACACAACCGGCCUUCUCCAUGACGACAUCGGCGUCUCUCUAUCAAGUUGGGUGGAUCGACGCGAUUGCUACGAAGAAAGGGAUGGACGAUCUCUUCCACGGAGUCCACCCGCGAUUACACCAAGCACGAAUAUACAUGCAAGAAUUGUAGAAUUGUAAAACAUGGAGUAGCGUUCUUCAAGUAUUCAAGCUGAAUUAAAUCAUGACAUAUAUUC